rnacentral:rRNA from 1 species
CCUACGGGAGGCAGCAGUGGGGAAUAUUGCACAAUGGGGGGAACCCUGAUGCAGCAACGCCGCGUGGGUGAAGAAGUACUUCGGUAUGUAAAGCCCUGUCAGCAGGGAAGAAAAUGACGGUACCUGACCAAGAAGCCCCGGCCAACUACGUGACAGCAGCCGCGGUUAUACGGAGGGGGCAAGCGUUAUCCGGAUUUACUGGGUGUAAAGGGAGCGUAGACGGCAAGGCAAGUCUGAAGUGAAAGCCCGUGGCUCAACCACGGGACUGCUUUGGAAACUGUGUUGCUGGAGUGCAGGAGGGGUAAGCGGAAUUCCUAGUGUAGCGGUGAAAUGCGUAGAUAUUAGGAGGAACACCAGUGGCGAAGGCGGCUUACUGGACUGUAACUGACGUUGAGGCUCGAAUGCGUGGGGAGCAAACAGGAUUAGAUACCCUGGUAGUC